GAUGAAGAACGCAGCGAAAUGCGAUACUUGGUGUGAAUUGCAGAAUCCCGCGAAUCAUCGAGUUUUUGAACGCAAGUUGCGCCCGAAGCCAUUCGGCCGAGGGCACGUCUGCCUGGGUGUCACGCAUCGUUGCCCCCCCAAACUCCGGUUCGGGCAGGGCGGAAGUUGGCCUCCCGUGCGUGCCUGCGCGCGCGGUUAGCCCAAAAGCGAGUCCUCGGCGACGAGCGCCACGACAAUCGGUGGUUUUUUUACCCUCGUUCCUCGUCGUGCGUGCCCCGUCGCCCGAACGCACUCUUGCGACCCUUACGCGUCGCCUCGGCGGCGCUCCCAACGCGACCCCAGGUCAGGCGGGACUACCCGCUGAGUUUAAGCAUAUCAAUAAGCGGAGGA
rnacentral:misc_RNA from 1 species